GACGAACGCUGGCGGCGUGCCUAAUACAUGCAAGUCGAACGCAGUGGGGACGGGUGAGUAACACGUGGGUAACCUCCCCUCAGAUGGGGAUAACAAUUGGAAACAGGUGCUAAACCAAUAGUGAUUGAUGGACCCUCGGUGCAUUGUCUAGUUGGUUAGGUAACGGCUCACCAAGGGCACGAUUCAUAGCCUACCUGGGAGUGUGGUCGGCCACACGGCAACGGAGACGCGGCCCAGACUACUACGCGACGCAGCAGUGAUGUAUCUUAGGCGAGUGACGAAAGUCUGACCGAACAACGCCGCGUGAGUGAAGAAGGUUGGCUGAUCUUAAAACUAUGGUUUUAGAGAAGCGGUAUCUAACCAGAAAGCAACGGCUAACUACGUGCCAGCAGCCGCGGUAAUUC
rnacentral:rRNA from 1 species